rnacentral:rRNA from 1 species
UACGUAGGGGGCAAGCGUUGUCCGGAAUCAUUGGGCGUAAAGAGCGUGUAGGCGGCCAGAUAAGUCCGCUGUGAAAUCUCGAGGCUCAACUUCGAGCUGUCGGUGGAAACUGUCUGGCUAGAGUCCGGAAGAGGUGAGUGGAAUUCCUGGUGUAGCGGUGAAAUGCGCAGAUAUCAGGAGGAACACCAAUGGCGAAGGCAGCUCGCUGGGACGGUACUGACGCUGAGACGCGAAAGCGUGGGGAGCGAACAGG